GAGAAUAAGAGAGAAGAGACAAAAAGAGAGAGAAAAAAUAGAUCAAAUGUCACAUGAUGGUUUCUAUGCAUCUGGCACAAAACCUUUUAGGGGAAUUUUAAUUUGGUACAUUGACCACUCACCAUGAUGCACACGAUGUGAAGCGGUUAAACACAGACCACUCACCACUCACCACACACCACUCACACGCACCCUCUCACAACAUUCAACAUGAAACCCUCACCGCUGAAAGUUCCCCUUCCUACCUGCACCCACUUCAUCACAACUGGACACCCUUAUCACAACAGCACUAAAACUGGACACCCUUAACACAACAGCACUAAAACUGGACACCCGUAUCACAACAGCACUACAAAUGGACACCCUUAACACAACAGCACUAAAACUGGACACCCUUAUCACAACAGCACUAAAACUGGACAGUAAUGUGUUGUCUAUACUAGAUACUCAUUUGUAUUGAGACGAUGUGGACACACUUGCAUCUACUAACUUUCUGCUAAGUUGAAUACCAAGGUCAAAACUAUGUUGUAGCAAAACUCACUGAAGUCUUGUUUCUUGUAUUCAUCCAAAUAGUUCACUUUACCUGGAAUAACAAAUUGACAUAAAACACACAAUGAGUCUGUGUUGGUUAGCUUACUUUACCUGGAAUAAAAAAUUGACAUAAAACACACAAUGAGUCUGUGUUGGUUAGCUUACUUUACAUGGAAUAACACAUUGACAUGAAACACACACAAUGAGUCUGUGUUGGUUAGCUUACUUUACAUGGAAUAACAAAUGAACAUUAAACACCGAUGACCACAACCUGUGUUCUGUUCACCCUCCACCUGAGCACCAAACCACAACUCUUUCCUGUGCCAGAGGAAACAACCACAGGAGGAUUGGGACUUCCAAAGUAAUGCACAAACACACAAGGCUACUUAUAUUAUGUAGGAUUCUUAAAUACAUCCCCAAUGUUAAGCAAAUGGCAGCUAGCCUGCCAGCUCAAAAACAGUAUGUUUUCCGUGCUAACAAAACAAAAGAAAAUGCUAUAAUAGCCAGCUACGAGGUAGCUCAACUCAUAGCGCCUCAGAUGGUGACUUCAUAAAACAGCGCCUCAUUAAAGCCACAGAAAUAAUGUGCCUGGAAAAGAUACAAGAAUUCAACAAUUGAGCAUGCCCAGAAACACAGUUGUGCGCCGACUUGUCAGCUAACUUAAAACAUAAAGUGUCGCACAAAGCUUGUGCUUUUGAUUUGUACCUGAUUGCAUGUGAUGAGAGCACAGACACCGCGCACCUGUUACAUUUUUUUUGCGGGGAGUUGACGAUAACUUUUGCAUUACGGAGGAGCUGCCUGAUCUUAGGAGUCUAAAGGGCACAACAACGGGGCUGUGAAGGGGAACCACCAUCCUGACUAAUACGCAAUCUGAGACAGCUGUUUUGAGAAAGAGCUUUAACUUUUUUUGAAACAAAAUGAAUGAAAACUCGUUAAUGGAAAGUCGUGAUGUAGGCUGUUUUUAUUUUAUUUACUUAAGCAUAUUCAAUUAUCAAGCAUAAUUUACCUACAUUUGAUUGAUUUUGUUAACUUUAAUAGUGGCCCAGGCUUUCGUAUAUUUUUCUGUAUUUGGCCCUCAGUUAAAAAAGGUUUGGACACCCCUGAUGGACUCUAGAUGGACAUACUGCAUCUAUGAAAUAGAGUCUCAAAUAGUCUAAUGAGAGCUGAGCUGUUUUCCGGAUUUCUGUUUUUGCUAGGGUCAUAGGGUUUCCUGUUUUGUUUUUGUUUUUUGCCUCAUGGUAUGAAGAUCUCCUCCUUAUAGCACAUGAUAUGCAUUACAAUCCAGCCCCCCCCAUGUCAUAUGAGAGAUAUAUAACCAGGUACAACACAUCUAACGCUUCACUGAAUUUGGUGAUCCGUGUCGACAUGUCUCUGAAGAUCGCACUCAUCACACUUGUCCUGGCCAGCAUGCUGUCCUCUGCAGAUUUCCUGAAGUGUUACACCUGUGCUGGGGGACAAUGCACUGAUAAUCCAAUGACCUGCCCUUCGAAGAAUGAUUCCUGUGUUAAAUGGGAGGUCCCUCUUCCUCCAGAGAGGGAUGCGUCAGUAUUUGUAUUCCUAAAAUCGUGUGGCAAUCAAGAUACAUGCAAUGAUGCUACAAAUCAACAGAACAUCAGAAAAUCAGAACAUCCGAAUAUAAACUGCUGCAAGGAGGAUCUGUGUAACGGCGCUGGGACCAUUGGGAAGAACCUCCUGCUCCUGCUGGUGCCGGUGGCCUCCAUCUUUGUGCUCUCCUGAGCUGAGAGCUCCACCAUCCUCCUCCUCCUCCAUCCUCCUCCUCCUCCUCCUCCUCCUCCACUGGCCCCAGUUCAGCUGUAAUCCUGAACACAUGCGUCUAACCUGAUUGUUUAAAUUGUGUAUCACUCAAUCCUUGCAUUGCAUAUAUAUAUAUUACUUAAACAUGAAACUAAUAUUUGUUUAAUUAGUGAUAACUGUGAUUUGCUGACUCUUUGAAAAAUGCAUAUUCAAUAAAAAGAUCAUAUUUGUA